UACAGAGGUCUCAAGCGUUGUUCGGAUUCAUUGGGCGUAAAGGGUGCGUAGGUGGUGCCGUAAGUUGGAUGUGAAAUCCCGGAGCUUAACUCCGGAACUGCAUUCAAUACUGCGGUGCUUGAGUACUGGAGAGGAGAUCGGAAUUCACGGUGUAGCAGUGAAAUGCGUAGAUAUCGUGAGGAAGACCAGUGGCGAAGGCGGAUCUCUGGACAGUUACUGACACUGAGGCACGAAGGCCAGGGGAGCAAACGGG
rnacentral:rRNA from 1 species